rnacentral:rRNA from 1 species
GACGAACGCUGGCGGCGUGCUUAACACAUGCAAGUCGAACGGAAAGGCCCUGCUUUUGUGGGGUGCUCGAGUGGCGAACGGGUGAGUAACACGUGAGUAACCUGCCCUUGACUUUGGGAUAACUUCAGGAAACUGGGGCUAAUAACGGAUAGGAGCUCCUGCUGCAUGGUGGGGGUUGGAAAGUUUCGGCGGUUGGUGAUGGACUCGCGGCUUAUCAGCUUGUUGGUGGGGUAGUGGCUUACCAAGGCUUUGACGGGUAGCCGGCCUGAGAGGGUGACCGGCCACAUUGGGACUGAGAUACGGCCCAGACUCCUACGGGAGGCAGCAGUGGGGAAUAUUGCACAAUGGGCGGAAGCCUUAUGCAGCAACGCCGCGUGCGGGAUGACGGCCUUCGGGUUGUAAACCGCUUUCGCCUGUGACGAAGCGUGAGUGACGGUAAUGGGUAAAGAAGCACCGGCUAACUACGUG